AGUCUGCACUAUCUGGAUUAAAGCCCCUGAGUACCAGUCCAUCUGUUGAAAGAUUUGGGGUGUUCUCUUUUCCUGACUGCUCCCUAACAGACGGUUCCCAUCUGUGUCCUGGGGAAACACAGGAGCUCUUUCCACAUCACAAACCUUCCCAUUCAGAAGGUGCCAGCCUAUGCCUGCAGUUCCAUCAGGCCGGGACCCAAGAUCCUGGCGAAUAUGGACUUUCUUUCUUCCCUGUACACUCUGCUCGCCCCCCAACGUGGACUGAAGCCUUAAGAUAAAGGCUGGGAGGGCUACAUAGGGAAGACCAAGAAGGCUGAGUUGGAAUCAGAAGGGCCAGGUCGGGAGUGUACAGGAAGUGCCCUCACUUCCAGGAAUCAGAAGAGUGUCACUUCAAGGCCCCGAAGACUAAGGAGGAUUUCCACAGGCCCGGAGGCUUCCCCGUGAAGAAGACAGAGACCAGGACAAGCCUAGUAUUGACCUCUGAAUGGCAAUUCCCUUCGGCUCUGUUUGAGGAACUCAGAAGGAGUGGAAGGGGAGAAGGGGGUCUUGUACUUCCUGGGCUUUCACCAGUGACCCGCUCCAGGGCUCUUUCCAGCAUCCCCAUUCCACAGGUGAGAAAGGAAUCU